AAUUUUAUAGUUUAUAUAUUAUAAAACAUUAGAUUGCAAAUCUAAAAAAAUAAAUAACUUAUUAAAAUCU
rnacentral:tRNA from 1 species